GCAGCAGCAGUGCAUUUCUCCCCGUCAGCCAUCUUCGCUGUGUCAUAUGACCCUGAUCAGGCGCACUCCAGGCAGCAGCCCCACGCCCUGCCCGCUGGCUGCAGGGCAGGCACCAGUUUCCAGCUUUUCAAAAAUUGACUUUUUGGAAUGAUCCUACAGCCUGACACAGUUCAUAGGAGGGAAACUUAGGCAGAGAAAUGACAGGAGUUACUUUGUGGUGUACCUACUUAUCAGGAAACAACGAAUUGCUUGUUGAGCCACCUGUGAUCCAGCUGAUUUUUCCAUAUUCACUGCCAGGAUUUUGAGACCAGCAUUUCCAGAAGAAUCCUUUGAAUUAAACUUUUAUUUAGUCUUCUUUGAAAAUGAAAGCCCUGGUGAACAUUUGUUGCAGAAGGUGUCAUCUGAUUAUUUAAAUUUUGCUCUGAAGAAAGUUAGCAGAGGAAGCAAUUUGCUCUAUUGCAUUUGCUCUGUUAAUAUUAGAAGAACUUCUACAUGUAUCCUUGAUUUUGUGACAGGUGACGAUCUCCUAUAAAAAUUUAAUAAUGGGGAACUUGAAUUUUCACAGGAGGUA